GAUAUAUAACAUGAAACCUCCUAGUUUGCCUAAUUCGAUAAGGCCGAACUCAGUCAUGAUGCGAAAGAAAACUGAUGGUGGCAUGAAGAAAAGGGAUAAUGAUUUACACCGGUUACUUUUUAUGCCAAAUGGGCUUCCAGAUGGAGCAAAAUU